GCGACAGGAGCGGCCGAUAUCGGAUUAGCUAGUUGGUGAGGUAAAGGCUCACCAAGGCGACGAUCCGUAGCUGGUCUGAGGGGACGACCAGCCACACUGGAACUGAGACACGGUCCAGACUCCUACGGGAGGCAGCAGUGGGGAAUUUUGGACAAUGGGGGCAACCCUGAUCCAGCCAUUCCGCGUGAGUGAAGAAGGCCUUCGGGUUGUAAAACUCUUUCGGCAGGAACGAAACGGUCAUCUCUAACAUAGAUGGCUAAUGACGGUACCUGAAGAAGAAGCACCGGCUAACUACGUGCCAGCAGCCGCGGUAAUACGUAGGGUGCGAGCGUUAAUCGGAAUUACUGGGCGUAAAGCGUGCGCAGGCGGUUUUGUAAGACAGAUGUGAAAUCCCCGGGCUUAACCUGGGAACUGCGUUUGUGACUGCAAGACUAGAGUGUGGCAGAGGGGGGUGGAAUUCCACGUGUAGCAGUGAAAUGCGUAGAGAUGUGGAGGAACACCGAUGGCGAAGGCAGCCCCCUGGGUUAACACUGACGCUCAUGCACGAAAGCGUGGGUAGCAAACAGGAUUAGAUACCCUGGUAGUCCACGCGGUAAACGAUGAACACUAGACGCCGGGGGGGUG
rnacentral:rRNA from 1 species